GUUUGGAGAGGAAGUGACGCCAGAAAGAUCACGCCCCACACAGGGAGUAACGUCAGAAAGAACGCGCCAUAGCCAGCUUCAUAACAACCUGAAUCCACUAAGAGGUAAACGCUAGAAAGAUGGAGGAGAGUCAUCCAGACAUGCCGUGUUUCCCCUUUCUCUACAGACUUGUGGAAAUCACACAUGAGUACCUUGAGAGAAAGCGAUCGCAGCUCUUUCGGAUACAACACUUCUGAGACAACAAGAGAACUUUGUUAUGUCCAGGUCAGCUGUGAUGCUACUUAGCGAAAAACUUUGCCCAGUUGUCGAAGGAGAGACAACGAAAAUGCGGGCUCCCAAGGAUGUCAUAAAGAGGCAGCAUGUGCCUUGUUUUACCUGGCCGUCGAAGGAAGACUACGAAAAACGGCGAAUGCUUUUGGACUGGCAAAGCAGACUGGAUCAGUUAUUGUCCACCAUGUAUGUCGCGGACUCAACGCCUAGGUCCAGAGUAUAUAAAGUCACCAAAAACAAAUGGACAAUGAAGGAUAAGGUUAGGCGGGUGUGGAGAGACGCACCCGACAGCGGGCUGAGAGGAGCAGCGGUCCUGACCAAGAUGGAGGCCAGGAGGCGGGGCAUGCAGCAGAGAGGAGAGGCGUGACGCACUCGGAGCGGCGCGGCAGCAGAAAUCAGAGUAAGGUGCGUACACCACAUACCUGCGCUCAAUCCCAUCAUCUGCUGCUGCAGCAUAAAAGGGGCGAAGGAGGAACACUUGUGGAAGAAGUAGGAGAAGGAACCCCCUGAGAAGACCGACCACGAGCGCGACGAACGAGACCCGGAAGAUGAUGAGCCCCCGCACCAGACGCAACCAACGGGCACCGAAAGGUGUACCGCGACCGCAAGCAGGAAGAGCCCGCGGACUAAAAAGUGGCGCGACAGAAAGGCAAGAAGAGAGGAUGAGUUUUGAAACAAUAAAUCAGAGUCAAACCUGCUAUGAGGCGUCUUGUGUCAAGUGUCACAGCAACCCACGCACGGAUGGCUGGAAGUCCGUCACAGCGGGAUUUACCUUGGAUAGAAGAAGGGACUUUGCGGGUGUGUGCAAGACCUCGGAAUUUUACAUCAGAAAACUAAGACUGUCCUUUCAGAGUUAAGUCAACAGGACUUGUCACUGUGUGGUGUCUCCUGGAGACACCGCACACUUUGACUCAAUAUAUUUCAAGUCUGAAACACACUCUGUAUUCAUGUGGGGAAUAUUUAAAGUAUUUUCAAUUAUUGAUCUGUGAAUAAGGUAUUGCUUUUUCCCCAAAUACUCCAGCUAGCUUAGCUUACGCUAAAAUUCUACUAAAUGCUAUAUGUGAAACUGAAUAAAACAGGCUUUGAUUCAAA